rnacentral:rRNA from 1 species
GAUGAACGCUGGCGGCGUGCCUAAUACAUGCAAGUCGAGCGAACGGACGAUAAGCUUGCUUCUCUGAUGUUAGCGGCGGACGGGUGAGUAACACGUGGAUAACCUACCUAUAAGACUGGGAUAACUUCGGGAAACCGGAUCUAAUACCGGAUGAUAUUUUGAACCGCAUGGUUCAAAAGUGCAUGACGGUCUUGCUGUCACUUAUAGAUGGAUCCGCGCUGCAUUAGCUAGUUGGUAAGGUAACGGCUUACCAAGGCAACGAUGCAUAGCCGACCUGAGAGGGUGAUCGGCCACACUGGAACUGAGACACGGUCCAGACUCCUACGGGAGGCAGCAGUAGGGAAUCUUCCGCAAUGGGCGAAAGCCUGACGGAGCAACACCGCGUGAGUGAUGAAGGUCUUCGGAUCGUAAAACUCUGUUAUUAGGGAAGAACAUAUGUGUAAGUAACUGUGCACAUCUUGACGGUACCUAAUCAGAAAGCAACGGCUAACUACGUG